GGAAUACCAACAGAAUAAACAGACUUUAGUCCUGCCAUCUGCCCUGGCCCAUGCAGCCUGGCAUUGUUUAGGGGAUCAUACCUGGCUUCCCACCCAGGCCACAUGACUCUAGAGGGCAAGACUUAGUAAGGUCACGUAGUAGGAGCUCAAUAUAAUUUAUUGGUUAGACAAGAGGAAACCACUUCUUCUCUUGACAAGCCAUGUAAAUUGUAACCACUGAAAGUCCGCUGUUUCGAUUCUGGGCAAGAUGCUAUGGCAGAACAGGGACCAUGAUGAACUACUUAGAAAAAUACAUAAGGCCAUACCCAUGCAGGAGACCUCUCCAGGUACACAUAUUUCCUGCUACUGAAUGGCUUAGACUGGGAUUUGCAAGGAACUACGAAGUCCAAGACCUUUGCCUUUCUUUUAGAAGAAGGCACCAGCUGGUUCUCCAAUGUUGAAGGUCUUCUCCAGAGAUGGGCAUGCAGAAGGAGUGAAAAAACAAGAAGGAAGACAAGGAAGACAUUGUUUUGGCUGCUGACAUUUCCUGAAAGAUCUGAGGCGUCCCCUUCACUUCGGGCAUGGGACCCAGACGGCUGAGUGAUGGACCUUAAGGUGUGGGGAGAUUACAACUUGCUCAAGGUCUCAUAGCUAGAAGAUGUCAGAGUGAUAACUCAAACCAUGUCACA
rnacentral:lncRNA from 1 species